AGAUUUUUUUUUCAGGAUGAAGUUACCAAGUGUCGUCAUUUCUUCCUCACUUUUCCCAAACAGCACAAUCCUGAGUCCAUGAGCUGUCAAACAGGAAAUAAAAACAGUUAAAUGUAGUGAAUCUCUGAUCAACAUCCUGUCCAGGAUCACAGAGUCUCACACAGGUUUCUACAUGUUCUGUCAGUUUGUGUUCAGAGAUGUUGGGAUGCAGCAGAUCUGGGGUGUUGAUGAGAACUAUUUCUUUCCAUCUCCAGCAUCCACUGACUCUCUGACAGCAGUCUGGUGCUUUCUGAGUGCUGAACACCGUUUCUCCCAGAAUGAAGUUCCCAGCAUCUCUCCUGUCAGUCCAGCUGUUCCCCAGCAGAACAACCCUCAGCUCUGACACUAAAAACACAAAGAGAAAUCACUGUCCUCUCUGAUGACAAGUUCUGCUGAAGACAAAGUCCUCUGUAUCACCACCGGUCCUGUAACACACCACCAUCAACACUGUUUCACCUCUGUUGGUUUAUUUGUCAGCAGGACAAAAAGUAUUGAACCAAUUUGCUCCAAAC